GGAACAAAUGUGCCCAAUCGGGGGACUCCUGAGGAAGCAUCUCCUGAGGGGGCGUCUCCUGAGGAGGCGUCCGCUGCAAGGGCUGGAGAGGGGACCAGUCGGGGGUCGCGGAAGAGUAACGAGGGGACAUCACCGAAGAAAGCCCCCGCUCCUGUUCUUCAUCCCGAAAGUCGAUCAGGAGAGGCGAGGAGGCCGUGGGUCCCCCUGGUGAUCCCAGAGGAAGCCUCCUGCGAGAUGCAGGAAUAAGCUGGGUGGGCGGAGCCUCGCCGAGGGUGUCCUGGGCAGGCCCGCUGUCCGUGGCCCGGGGCUGUGUCACCCUCUGCUCCUUGGGUGGUUCCGGUCGACGAGGAAGGAAGAUCGGGGCAACCCGUGCUGGAGGGAUUGCUUCCCGAUCCACCUCAGGAGACCAAUCUGGAGCCACGGCGUCGGUGCUGGUAGCCACCGAGACCCGGGCGACGACCCGAGCCGGAGGGCUGCUAGCCCGUACCACCCCAGGAGCCCCGUCAGGGCCCGUAGGGUCAGUAUGGGUGCCCACCGAUACCCGGGUGGCGGUCUGGACCGGCAAGGACUGGGCCGGGCGUACCACCUCCGCGUUGACAGGGGGGUCGGCGAAGGCCGCGACGAUCAGAGCCUCGGCCUUCCCGAGGGUGUCCCCCAUCAGUCUGCGUCCCAGAUGUUUCUUGGCCCAUGUAGAGGCCAGCUGAAAAGCGGGUCUCCAAACCUCGUCAA